rnacentral:lncRNA from 1 species
AUUUCGGGGCUGUCAUCACCAGAAACGCCGGCUGCCGGCCGCCCACCAGCUCGGCUCCAGCCAGCAAGGCUUCCCGUGAGCGGCCCGGGUGUGCUCUGGCUGCUGCUUCCCCUUGUGUCUGUCCCUGAAAUAAACACAACUGCAGCACGCUGCGGUAAGCAAAGCUGCAGCCUUGCAUCUGGUUGCAGCGACGUUUUGAAAAACCCCAUCCGUCAGCCUCGUUGCAGUAAAGAGACUCAACAAGAGGACGCUUGUCUGGGCUUUUUCUUCCCUGCCUUCCACACGCAUGGUGGUAUCUGCAUUUUUACUUUUCCCUCCCAGAAAUGCAGUCUUUUCAAGGGGCAUCGGAGCCCGAACGUGUGCACUCUAAGGGGACAGUACACACUGCUUAGUUGGCUUGUUUUUGUAAUGUCACACACUCCACAAUGGAUCUUAUUCUCAAACCUCUCAUUUCUAAGACUCACUAAGCCCAGUGAAGCUUAUUUUAUUUGUAUGAAAAGGAUAAGAAGCAAAAGCAUUAGAUUCCUUGCUCUACAAUGGCUCUUGAUUUCAUGAAUUCUUGAUAUCAGGUGUCCUGAUUUUGGUUAGCUUUGUUUCACAUUAUCAUUUAGCUUGACCAGGGGAUUAAAUAAGAGUAUUAUAUUUUAAUAAUGACAGGUUAUGUUGGAAGAGGUGGGAUUUGGCCAACUAUCUCAUAAACCACAGGAUCCUUCCCAAGUCCCAGUACAUUCAUGAUUAAUGUUGUCUAAAAAACAGAAAAAAGUAAUAAACCAUGUUAAUAAGUAUUUAACAUAGCAAAUGUUGGGCUAACUCCCCAAAUCAACACACAAACAGGACUUCCUAGAUUAACAGUUCAUUUUAAAAAUGGAAGGGAAAGACUACAAUGUACUUUUAUUGUUAGGACAAAGAAUUUUUAAAAUUCAACACUAAAUAAAACUUCUAGAACUAUGUUCUGAAAGGCCCUAAGAUACUUCAUCAAUACAAUUAGUUUUUCAAACUCAUUACACUUACCCAAAUGGCAAGCACUCAAUCACUCAGAUUUCCAACUCCACUUAUACACUUUAUUCUGAUGAAAUCUCUCACCAGAUUGACUUCUUUUUAAUUCAUGUGCAUACUAGAGUUGCUGAACUGAUUUUAUCACUUGUACUUUGAAUGUAUGGAUUCUAGGUAAAAUAAGACCCAAAGGUUUUACCUUGAAACAAUUAUUAUAUCUGAAAAUAAAUUUCAUACCUACGCCCAUCUGAUGCUUGCCAAGACUCAGAUGGCAGUGAAUGAACAGGUAGGCUGCACAGUGCCCUGCGAUUAACGAUGGCAUGGGCUCUCAAGGCAGGGCCCCAUGUUCGCUCCUGGCACCAGCCCUUACUAGCUUUGAGCCCCAAAGUAAGCUAUUAACUUUGCUAAGCCUUCGUUUCCUCAUCUGUAAAAUGGGGUUGUACCUUCUUCCUAUAGUUGUUGGAAACAAUAAAUAACACUAUGUAUGAAAGGGGCUCAGCAUAGUAUCUUGCCCAUAGUUAACACUUCAUUAAAUUUUAGCUACAUUGAUUUUUUUUUUUUUUUUUUUUUUGAGACAAUCUCACUCUGUCGCCUGGGCUGGAAUGCAGUGGUGCAAUCUUGGCUCACUGCAACCUCUGCCUCCCGGGUUCAAGCGAUUCUCCUGCCUCAGCCUUCUGAGUAGCUGGGGUGACAGGCAUGCGCCACCAUGCCCGGCUAAUUUUUGUAUUUUUAGUAGAAAUAGGGUUUCACAGUGUUGGCUGGGGUGAUCUUGAACUCCUGACCUCAGGUGAUCCACCUGCCUUGGUCUCCCAAAGUACAGACAUGAGCCACUGCGCCUGGCCCAUUCAUUCUUAUUAUGAAUCCUUAGUGACUCUAGAAUAGAACUUUUUUUUAAAAAGCUAAAUACUUUUUUUUCUUUACUCUUUAUGUGGUUUAAAAGAUAUAUUACUUUUGAACACCAGUGGUAACUAUUUGGGGAGAGCAAGUUGGAGACAUUUAAAAUCAGUUGCAAUAAGCAAACAUGCUAUUGUAUAUUGUUACUCAAAUAUAUAGAGAUUCUCUCUGUUGACUUUAUUUUAAAAAAUUUUUAACUGGCUUUUUAAAGUUUUCAAUACUUAAAUACAUAAGUUUUCAGUAUUUAACUACUAUAAACAUACUAACUUGCUGAGAAUGCCACUCAUAUAUAUUUCAAGGGAAACGGUCAUAAAAAUGUAAAUGCUACUUAGAAAAUAAUGUUUUCAAUGCCAUCUAGCUUUCACUGUGAAGAGUGAAUCAGCAUCUAAGAGCCCAGUUUCUGUCUCUUAGAACCUGAAAUCUUGUCCAGUGUAUGCUUUUUCUUCAUUCGAGUACCUUUAAAGAGGACAUAUAUUGUAAAAGAACAGAAAAGGGCUUUUGUUUUGUUGAAAGGCCUGCAAAUCAAAUAGAAUGACACCCGCUGCAAGCUGAGUUGAAACAUUUAUCCUUUUGUCUUCUCUCUCUCUGGGGGGGCAUAAAAAAAUUAGUCAGAAGAGGCACCUGGACAGAGGUACUUUAAAAUGCAACAGUAAAAUCUGAAUGUGUUCCUGGCUUGCUAGUGACUUCAGUUAUGAUUUAAGAGGACCUAAAGCUAUCUCAGCUUUCAUACCUGUAAAAAUGAGGGAUCCUUCCUUAAAAAUAUUAGGAGAACAUACAAUGAAUUGUCAAGCAUGGAAUUAGGCAUAGAUGUUGGGGACUGAGUGAAAGAUAACAGGAAAAGUGGAAGGCCUUAGAAAAUGGUAUCAAAGAGUGGGGAAAAAGUCGGAAAGUGGCCUGACACAAGUGAUGACACUAAAUGACACCAUCUACAUUUGUUGAAUAUAAAUAUUGUAGUUAAAAAAAUAUAUAUUUUUAUAUUUAAUACUCACCUCAAACCUAUGAAGUAAGUACUAUUAUUAGUCCCAUUUUACAGAUGAGAAAAUUGAGGCUUAAGGAGGCAUAAAAUAAGGUCAAACUCAUAUAGCUAGUAAAAUUUAGGUCUAUUUUAGACCCUGAGUCACUUGUCAUAACUUUGUUAUUUAUUUAUUUUUUUAAAAAUCACAAGCAAGGUGAGAAUCAUGGUUACCAAGUUCUUUAGAGAAAGCUCAGGAAGAGGCUGGGCACAGUGGCUCAUGGCUGUAAUCCCAGCAUUUUAGAAGGCCAAGGCGGGUGGAUCACUUGAGGUCAGGAGUUCAGGACCAGCCUGGCCAACAUGGCGAAACGCCAUCUCUACUAAAAAUACAAAAAUUGGCUGGGCGUGGUGGCACCCGCCUGUAAUCCCAGCUACUUGGGAGGCUGAGGCAGGAGAAUCACUUGAACCCAGGAGGCGGAGGUUGCAGUGAGCCUAGAUUCUGUCACUGCACUCCAGCCUGGGCAACAGAGCAAGACUCCAUCUCAAAAAAUAAAAAUAAAUAAAUAAAUAAAAGUUCAGGAAAGAUGCUAAGGUACUCCCUAACACAGCAGAGGCGCUUCAGGUCCCACUGACUCUCCCAGCCUAUUCACUGUCUUCCUGCCUGGCUUUGUCCUGGGUGAUGUAUUCCCUGGGGACUGUAACCAAUUCCAAGAAACCAAGAGAAGAAUGCCUUUAUUUUUUACAUUAAUUUGAUUCAUUAUACAGGCAGUGGUCUCUACAAGGAUGUCUGACCUAGAGUGGAGAUGGGGUGACUGAGGAUGGAAAUCUAGUCUGAACUCCACUCUCCAAUUUGGCAGGUACAGAGGUGGCAGUGGGCUGCUUCUACCCUGGCAUGGGUCUGCAUCAGCCCAGGACUCAAUCCAGAGGAAGGGGUGCCUAUUUUUUUUUUUUUAUCAAGAUACCACAUGGGCUGGUGGUAGCUCUGGGUGGUCAAUGGGAAGGAGGUGGUCAGAAGGAGUGACCUAUUGGUCACCUAUGUACCUAUGUCCUAGCAAGCCAUGUAGCAGAGUGGGAUGAGGGUGGUAAAGGAUACAGAGACUAUAUCUCAUAAUCCAUGGCAUUUACUCUCCUCCUGUCUUGAUCCCAAUUAUAACCAUCUGUCCCGUCUCUCCCUCCAGAAGACCUGUGUCUUACUCAGCUUUGUGUUCCUUACAUCUCUGUAGCACACAGUAAGUCCUCAUGCAAUAAACAUAUGUUGAGUGAAUAAGUGAAUGAGCAAGCUUGUCAUGUCUGACUGUUAUCUGCUGCCUGUGGGAAAAAAAUGUAUAAGAAAUGCAAUUUUUUGUUUUAAUUCAUACUUAGUUUACUCUUUUUUUAAAAGCAUUUUGAAAAUUUUUUUGAGGCUAAAUUGUGUGGCAUUCAAAAAAAAUGUGGAAACAAAGCCUUGCAAACAGUCUGGAUGCAUGCCAACAUCAAGAGCCAUUACCUAAUGAUUUUAAAGCAUCUGAUUGAGUUGAUUGGGUUACGAUUGGAAUCCACCCCCUUUUCUUGUAGACGGAUACACGUGGGUACACAUGUGUAAUUACUGUCACAGAGUGACAUGUACAUUCAUGAACAGAAUGUGUUAGGCAGAAAUGUUUCACUAGCAUCCUGAAGAAACAAAGGAAAAUCACUAAAUGCAAGAAAAUAAUUGCUUUAUCAAUUUUUGAUCAGCAGUCUCAACUUCCAAAAAAGCAUGAACUAUAUUAUAUUCCCACUAUUAUACAUUGUAUCUUAAGAACAGCUCCAAAUCAAAUUAAGCAUCCCCUGAAUUGAGAUAGAAAGACAGCAGUUACAAUCAAUGGUGAUGAGUAUGGAAAAAGGGUUUUGUUUUUCUUUAAACAGUAGAAUAAGAGGCUUUUUAGAGAUAACCUAAAGGACAAAGUGUUGAGAUAAAUAACAAACUUCUCUUUUGACCUAUUUUUGAUGCAUGAUUUGGACGGAUCUAUCCCAUCCUAAGAAAUAUUAGAGAAAAAAUAUGAAAUGAUGCCACACAAUGUCCAUGUGGUAAGCAUCAAACACAAUAAUCAUUACCUUAAAAAAUCCAACCCACAUAUAUAAAUCUUCACAAAAAUAGAUUCAGCAAGUUUUGAAAAACAUUUACUCCAUUACUAUCCACUGCAAAUAAUUUUUUUCAAUGAAUUGAAAUACAUUUAAAUUUUUUGAAUGCAACACAACUUCAUUAUAGCAAAGCUUGUUGUUGUCCAGAUUCAAACAUAAACAAGAAAAAUCAUGUCUUCUAAAAUUGUUAUCAUUGAAACAUAGCAGCAGAACUCAUUUUUUCUUUCCUACUCAGCUCCCCUGCGAAGGGGUUUUAUAAGGAACCCAGAGCCAAGACAAAGGAAUCAGGAGGAAUUCUAGCACAAUGGGAAGCCCCUGAAGGGUUUAAGCAGAAGACAAUAAAAGACUCCGAGAAGUGGCAGCAGGGAGUGGAGGAAAAAAAGCCUGGAAUUUACCCUGCUUUCUGCUCUGCACAUGGAAUGCCCCCUCCAUGUGUCCAUUGUCAUCCAAGGUGUUUUGACAGGUCUAGAGUGGGGUAAAAGAAUGGUAUUUAUUCAGGCCUAAUAUUGAGGCUUGGGGCUGGGCUGUAUAUCAGAGGGCAUGCAUAGACAAAGCUGAACAAAGGGGCACACCUACUGGGCACCUGCUGGGCACUUCUCUAAAAGUGGCACUGAGACAUCAUUAGGAUGAAUUAGAACUAGGGCACCAGUUAACCCGGGCCUGCAUGCUAGUGAAAGGAAAAUUGCGCCUCUCCCUCAACCCUGCUCCAGACAACUGAAUGGUGACUUCAAGAACAAAUAUUCAGGCUGGGUGCGGUGGCUCACACCUGUAAUCCCAACACUUUUGGAGGCUGAGGUGAGUGGAUCACCUGAGGUCAGGAGUUCGAGACUAGCCUGGCCAACAUGGUGAAACCCUGUUUCUACUAAAGAUACAAAAAUUAGCUGGGCGUGGUGGUGGGUGCCAGUAAUCUCAGCUAGGAGGCUGAGGCAGGAGAAUCGCUUGAGCCUGGGAGGCAGAGGUUGUUGAGAUGGUGCCAUUGCACUUCAGCCUGGACGACAAGAGCAUAACUCUGUCUCAAAAAAAAAAAAAAAAAAAAAAGAACAAAUAUUCAAAGGAUAUUAAUUAGAAGGGGAGUGACAUUGUAGACCAGACCAUGCUCCAUCAUAUAAAAGCUGUAUUGUUGGCAAAGUUGUUGAGCAUCUCAUGGCCUCAUUUUCCUCGUCUGUAAACUAGUGCCUUGUCACACAAAUCUGUUAUGAGGAUUACAUGAGUGCCUAGGCAGAUGACAACUGUUAUGUAGCAAAUCUGUAGUGAGAAAUGAACCCAGAAUAUGCAGCACAAAAUGCCUCCUUAACUCCAUAGUCAGGUUAGAAAAAGAGAAGAGAAGGAAAGAGGAGAGAGAGAACCUGUCAUCAUAGAGAGAUCCCUACCCCCAACCCCCUCUGCUGGCUACCAAGGUAAGGUAGACCUGCCCACAAGGCUGGAAGUUUCGGAAAGGUAAAGAAAGUCUAAACACAUGCACAUACAAACACUAUUACUUAACAUUUUAGUAAUAUUAAGUCAUAUAACAUUUGGUGCCCAGGGUAAACUUCCAUUUGAUUAGAGGUUCCGGUUAGGUUAGUAUCAUCUCAAAAUUUACCUAAUUUAGUCUUCUCAUCAACCUCUCAAAGUAGUGUCUGCAUAUUUGGAUAUCAUUAACCUGUAGUCAAAACCAGGAGAUGUUGUGGUUCAUACAUAUUUUGUACACAUAAAGAUUCGACUUCAAUUUCUGCAGAAUAAGGUCAUAGCACACUUAGUAUUUAAUGUAUUUAAAGACAUGUAUGCAAAGAGAAAACAUGACAGCAUUUACCUCAUGCCCCUUAGCAUGAAAGCAUACAACACUAAUGAUAACUUUAUUAUCCUAUUUUUGAAUAUCACCAGCAACCUGAGAAAUUAUUUACGUUCAGAUACAAACAGGUCAAAUAUAAAUGGCCACAAUAGGAGCCAACUAUUAAUACAUAAUUAUAAAAUAUUAAGUCCCUUCUGAAGAAGCAAAAAAUGGCAUUUGCGGCUGGGCACGGUGGCUCACGCCUGUAAUCCCAGCACUUUGGGAGGCCGAGGUGGGUGGAUCACCUGAGGUCAGGAGUUCAAGACCAGCCUGACCAACAUGGUGAAACCCCAUCUCUACUAAAAAUACAAAAUUUAGCUGGGUGUGGUGGCGGGCACCUGUAAUCCCAGCUACUCGGAAGGCUGAGGCGUGAAAAUUGCUUGAACCCGGGAGGUGGAGGUUGUGGUAGGCCGAGAUCCUGCCACUGCACUCCAGCCUGGGUGACACAGCGAGACUCCAUCUCCAAAAAAAAAAAAAAAGGCAUUAACUUUGCAUAUUAUUAUUUACCAAAAAUGCAGAUACAUAAUGCUUAACAGUAUAAAAAACAAUUAUAUUUAUAUCAGUCGUCAUCACCCUUUAGAUUCGCCAUCUACAGGAGAACUAAGAAAAUGCUGGUUCUUCCCUGUAUGAAUGAUAAUCUAGCAAAACAAAAAAAUAGAGCAUUCUCAUAGUUGUAUUAAAGUUAUUGGGUGAUACUCCUAUUAUUUGGUGAUAAAAAUUAAAUACCUUUUAUGGCUAGAGUGAAUAUUCCCACCAAUGUUACCAAUCUGAUACACAAAAAUAAAUAGUAGGGUUUAAGUAAUAAGGGAAAGAUCAACUUUUCCUUAAGAUACCAUUUAAUGUACAUAAUUAUUAAAACCUAUAAUUUUCAAAUCAAUGAAAUUGAGGAAAACUAGAAAUUUUGGAUAGUUUUUUAGCGCAUGCUACUUAAAUUUUACGUUUUUUUCCUUCUAGGUGCUAAAAUUUUUUCUUUCUAGGUAUGACCAUGUUUAUAGUUACCUAUUAGCAAAGGUUGAAGGGCUGGGAAUCAGGAAACUCAUGAUUCUGCUUUUUAUUUUGAUCCCGAUCCUAUAACCUUGGACAUGUUAUUUAUCUACUAAAAGAAGAACACUAUUUCCCAUCCCCAAACUGCCUCAUCUCUUAGGGCAAGCCAAUCUUUGGUUUUCUAUACCACUGGGAGGAACCAUUGCAUAGGAAAAGCAGAACACUGGGUAAUAAAUUAUUCUGUGUAACUCUUUGGCAAACAUUAUUUAAUUUUUUGGCAACAGAUUCACCUUCUUGGUUAUGUUCUAAUAAAGCUCAUGUCAAGAGUAUCCAUGAAAACACACACUGUCUACUGGCAGGAGAAGCUGACAUAGGACCAAAAAAUAAUUGGGGAUUAGAAAGCGAUAAAUCAAUAUAAAAACGAUCAAGCUGUCUACUGUGAAAUUAAUGAAGUAGUAUCAAAGUGCUUUGUUCAGCUUAGAGGAAAAGCAAUAGAAACUAUAUAACUAGACAAUUCUUGUAAACCAGGAAUAAACAAUAGUCACACGCCAGGUUAUUACAACUGAGAUUAAGGACAGUGGUCUAAGGAAUUAAGGAUAUGUUACAGCAUCACUUCAUUUGGAACUACCACUUUAAAAAGAAGUGUAUACCUCACUGAGCAUCACAGAUUUCACCUUCAAAGACUUCAAAAUGACCAUCUGUUCAUGGAGCUGUCUGGUACAGACCCCAGGUUUCUGCCUUUUAGAAGAUGGUGGUCUAAGCCCGACAACAGUGGAGCAGAAAAACCCAUACAUCACCUUUCCUCCCACAGACGAUGUUUAACCGUACAGUAGUAGAAAAUGUGACUCUGAAGGAGCAAGUAUAUUUUAGAGGACAGAGAAAGUCUUACAAGGCGUGUUUUUAGAAAGGGUGGGAAAUCACCACCCUCCUUUGACCAGACAGGCAGGGCUUUGUGUAGGAGGGUGGGGCUGUCAGAAACUGUCUGAAUGAUGGAAGGCAGCAGCUUAGCAGGCUAGUGGGAAGAGCGACUCCAACUGCACGGCUCAGCUUAGGAGGCAGAAGUGAGGUCAAGAGUAAUGAUCUUUGCAGACCGUCCACAGGGGUGAGAUCACUCUGAGAAGCCCAAGGAAACAGAAGUGGAGGGUCAUGAUUCUGACCCUCAGUGUUAGCUGUGGAGAAACUCAAGCUCAUGGUCAGAUAAACCCUGCUCCACCCAGUAAUGGCCUCAGUGAUCCACUUAUGUGUUUGACCUAUUUCUUUCUCAUUUAUAAGGUACACAUGAUUCUGCCCUUUACAUAAGGUUGUUUCAUGAUCUUAAAGGAGAUUAUGUAGAUGAAAGGGCUUUGUAUUCCCAGGAUGCUAAUGUUAGAUUCUCAGGGCUCCCAUCAGUGUAAGAAUCAGACAAAUAAGAGGGUGAGUGGUCCCUGCUCAGCCCAUCGCCCUUAAAGACACAUGCUGGCACCUUCCCUCAUUGUAAUAGCCUGCUGGACUUUUAGUUUUGGGUUUAGGGACAUGCCAGGGGUGUCCUGCUGUUUAAGUGGCCAUUCAUCAACUCCAGGAAUGUGCUGGUGGUUUGCCUGAGUCUUAUCCAAAUGCCACUCUGGCCUUUGGAUAAAUACAGGAUGGGUGGCAACUGUGGUCAAAUUACUACUCCACCCUACCACAAGCCUUAUUUUCCACCUUCUUUGCUCCUCAAGGGAGUUUCCCCUUUUUCUUAUCCUUUAAAAUUAUUUUUAAAUAUUUAUUUGUCUAUGAAUUCUUAUAUCCUUACCUUGGUAUAUGAUUUUCCCAUAUAUAAUUUAUAUUUUGUGUUCAUUACAACAAGGGGUAGCAGAAGCAUAAGGGAAGGGACAUGGACAUGGGCCUUCACCAGACUUCUGGAUGAAAGAUGAGAUGACUAGACAAUUCCAAUAGUGAGAAAUGUAUUAGGAAAAAGGCUGAAUACAGAAUAAGCACAGCAAUAUGCUCUCCUUUGGCUUUAUAUCUACACUUCCAGAGGAGGAAACUGAAAUUUAUCAGGGUAGGUCCCGCAGCAGAGUAAUGACAGUAACAGUAACAGUGAUUACUACUGGUCCUGUGAUAACAACAAGAUUGGAACUCCGAUCUGGUGCUAAGCCAGUGAUGUCCAACAGAAAUGCAAUGCGAACCACACACGCAGUGUUCAAUUUUUAAGUAGCUACAUUAAAAUAACCAACAAGCAGGUGAAAUUAAUUUUAAUAAUCUGUUUUGUUUAACCCAAUAUGCCAAAAAUCAUUUCAAUAAUUAAUGAAUAUAAAAAAUAUUAGUGAGACAUUUAAUAUUUUUUGUACCAAAUAGUUGGAAUCCAGUGGGUAUUUGACAGCACAUCUGCAUUUGGACUAGCCACAUCCAUCUUGCAGCCAUUGUACACAAUAUUGUACACAAUAGCUACAAGUGGCUAAUGGCUCCCUUAUUGGACAGUGUAGUCUAGCAUGUUCCUAAGUAUUUUUGUGCCAUGAGCCCUUUUGGCAGUCUGGCGAAGCCCAUGAGUUCCUUCUCAGAAUAAUGUGUUUACAUGAAUAAAAUGUGGAAGACACAGGGUGACAAAGAAAGCAAUUAUUUUGAAACAUAGUUAUUCAACUAUUUAAAAAAACACAAAAUUGUGGUAUCGUAUAUACCUGCUUCUUCAAAUGGUGCUUUAAAUAACAUUAUCCAGAGGCGUAAUAAUUAUAAGAAAUUUUAAAUAAAAGAAUGAUCAUAAAUAAUAUUUCAAUAUGCCUAAAGCAACUGUAGUGAUGAUGAAAAUAUCUGUGACUUCAACUGAUAGCAAAUUAACUUUGAGUUGUGGAGUUAAUUUGGUGGGUCAAACCAAGACACUUUCCUAAUGACAUAGAAUAGGAGGGAAUACAUUAGAGGGCAUCAUUCACAGUCAGGUUGAGUACUGUUUCAUGAAACCUCUGUUAUAUUUGUAUGUAUACAUACACACGGUUAAAUACUGGGUUGCAAUGUAAAAUGUACUUUAUAUUGCGAGUCAUGGUUUUAAAAAGUUUGAAAUCUUCAUACUCUGCUAGUGAGAAUGCAAAACGGUUUAACUACUAUGGAAAGAAUCUGAUGGUUCCUCAAAGAGUUAAACAUAGAAUUAGCAUACGACCCUGUAAUUUCACUGUGUACACAUGCCCCAAAGAAAUGAAAACAAGUUAUCAAACAAGUAUAUGUACAUGCAUGUUCAUAGCAGCACUAUGCGUAAUAGCUCAAAGUCUUCAAUGUCUAUCAAUGGAUCAAUGAAUAAACGAAAGGUGGCAUAUAUAUGUAAUGGAAUAUUAUUAAUCCGUAAAAAGGAAUGAAGUUUGGGAACAUGCUACAACAUGGAUGAACCCCCAAAAUGUUAUGCUAAUUGAAGAAGGCUGGAUACAAAAAGGUCACAUAUGGUAUGAUUCUAUUUAUAAGAAAUAUCCAGAAUAGGUAAAUCCAUAGAGACAGAAUGCAGAUCAGCUGUUGCCAGGGGCUACGGGGAGUGAAGAACUGGGAGAAUCUGCUUAAUGGUGAAGGGGUUUUUACUUUGGAGUGAUGGAAAUGUGCUGGAACUAGAUAGAAGUGGUGGUUGUGUAACACCACGAAUGUACAAAAUGUCACAGAAGAGUCACCUUAAAAUGGUUAAUUAUAUGUUGUUUCACUGCAAU